UUAAACGGUAGGGUAUUGGCCUACCGUGGCAAUGACGGGUAACGGGGAAUUAGGGUUCGAUUCCGGAGAGGGAGCCUGAGAAACGGCUACCACAUCUAAGGAAGGCAGCAGGCGCGCAAAUUACCCAAUCCUAAUACAGGGAGGUAGUGACAAGAAAUAACAAUACAGGACUUUUUUAGUUUUGUAAUUGGAAUGAGUUACGAAC
rnacentral:rRNA from 1 species